AGAGUUUGAUCAUGGCUCAGGACGAACGCUGGCGGCGUGCCUAAUACAUGCAAGUCGAGCGGACGAAUCGAAAGCUUGCUUUUGACUCGUUAGCGGUGGACGGGUGAGUAACACGUGGGCAACCUGCCCUGUAGACGGGGAUAACACCGAGAAAUCGGUGCUAAUACCGGAUGACACGAAAUGUCGCAUGACGUUUCGUUGAAAGACGGCGCAAGCUGUCGCUACAGGAUGGGCCCGCGGCGCAUUAGCUAGUUGGUGAGGUAACGGCUCACCAAGGCGACGAUGCGUAGCCGACCUGAGAGGGUGAUCGGCCACACUGGGACUGAGACACGGCCCAGACUCCUACGGGAGGCAGCAGUAGGGAAUCUUCCGCAAUAGACGAAAGUCUGACGGAGCAACGCCGCGUGAGCGAAGAAGGCCUUCGGGUCGUAAAGCUCUGUUGUUAGGGAAGAACAAGUAACGCAGUAACUGGCGUUACCGUGACGGUACCUAACGAGAAAGCCACGGCUAACUACGUGCCAGCAGCCGCGGUAAUACGUAGGUGGCAAGCGUUGUCCGGAAUUAUUGGGCGUAAAGCGCGCGCAGGCGGUUCCUUAAGUCUGAUGUGAAAGCCCACGGCUCAACCGUGGAGGGUCAUUGGAAACUGGGGGACUUGAGUGCAGAAGAGGAGAGCGGAAUUCCACGUGUAGCGGUGAAAUGCGUAGAGAUGUGGAGGAACACCAGUGGCGAAGGCGGCUCUCUGGUCUGUAACUGACGCUGAGGCGCGAAAGCGUGGGAGCAAACAGGAUUAGAUACCCUGG
rnacentral:rRNA from 1 species